UUUUAUUUUUUGAUGAUGUAUUUCAAAUAACUAUCCGGAUUGGUAUUCUUAAUCUUUCUUAUUUUAAAUCUAUUUUUUUACAGAUGAUGAUAGUUGAUGCUAGUUGUUCUUUGUUAUUUUAGAGUCUACUUUCUCAUCGGGAUUGGAUUGGAAACUUUUGAUUUGUAUGUCUCGGAGAAGUGGUGAUCUAUUAUGCAGUUUUUGUUUGCUCAAGUUCUGAAAUAGUCUCUGACCACAUAUUCAGGAUGGGCGCUGGAGUGGAAUUUUGAAAAUCUCUAGGCAUUUUGUAGUUUUGAUUUAAGUUUUUCUUCCAUUGAUUGUCUUCAGGGAGCAGUGAGAUAGAAAUUGCUGAGUUCUCUCUGUAGGCUGAAGCUUUGCCAGGUUUGAGAAGUGGUGAUUUAUUGUGUUCUUCUGUAGGGCUGAGUUGAUGAUUGUUUGAAAUUGGACAAGCAACUGCUUUGUGGAUUCUAGGCAGUUAUUGGUUUGAAUGAAGUUUGUUUUCCACUUCUGCUUUUUUCCGUUUAUGGUGAGAUUAUUAGGCCUUUCUUUUUUUCCUUCUAUUGCAAGCCUCUUCCAUUUCAAUGUGGGCUGUCCUUAAUCUAUAAUGGUUCUUUUUACAUUUCAAUUAACAAGCUCUUCUUUAUUUGAGCUUCUCUUGCCGUUUGUUGUUUUUGGAAAAUGAAUAGUCAUUCACUAUCUUCCAUUGUUGGGAUUGUUUAUGAAUCUGGAAAGCUUGAGAUCCUCAAAGUCCUGGCUUGUUUCUAUCCUUAUAAUGCAUGCUGCAUUAACUAAAGUGAUUGGUGGUAAAUCAUGGAGAUAUUGCAAGUGUAAUUUAUUCAUCUCGCCUUUUUUAUUUUGCGAAUGCUAGCUGCAUACAAUUUUGUUAGCUUAGGGUUUUAUUCUAUAUGAUUUAUAUGUUUUCUUUUGAUACAGAAUAUUUUGGUGGAACUUUUCAUUUACCAGGUGAUUUCUAUGCUUUAAGGGGUUGUUGAGGAGUGGUCAUGGACAUCCUUAGUGUUUACGCUCCUUUGAUCAUCAAUUGAUGGAUUGAUCAAUCCUUUUGUUGUUUUAGAGUUGUUUCCAGAUUUGUAAUCCAAUGCACUGGCUGUGCUUCUUUUUUCGUGGAGCGAUCUCUUUGAUUGAGGAGGUUGUCUCAGGAAUGGGUACAUAUGAUGAGGUUGGUCAAUUAUUACUUAGAAUGAAUGAGCUUUUCCCGAGUUCGAUGAUCUAUUGACAUCUAUCUUUGGUUGGGUUGGUUUAUGGGUGGUGUCCUUGUCAUGCGUUGUUGAGGCUUUAAUACACCAGACAAAUGGAAGAGACGUAUUGCUUGUUCCCAUAUUCAAGGUUGUCUGUGGCACGAGCUUACUAGGUACAUGCUUGAUCCUGAUAAAAAACUUUUUACUGGGGACUUUGAUGGGUUUGAAACCAUAAUGGGGUGAUCUUCUACUGUGUUUUGAAAAUGUGGGCAUCCCACCAAUAACUGCAAUGGGUAGGUUGCUCUGUUGAGGGGAGUGGAUUGAGGCUUCUCUGCUUGCAGUUGUGUUGGGGUUUAGCAUGCUGUUCAUCAUGGACAUUAGUACUAGAUCGUGCACCAGUAUCUACUCCUAUGCAAAAUCUACAGUGCUCUGAUUACAAUUUUUUUUGUUCUGGAGAUCGUUUCUUUUUACAAUAGGAUGGAGGACAUCUGCAAUAAGAUCUUGCUGUGGACUUUCAGCUGCAUAUCUUUGGACUUGAUGCUUCUGGUUCUCGUUUUCCAGAGUUCGUUUUUCUUAUGAGCAAAAGAUUCUGGUGUGUCAGUGAAUAAGAAGGAAAUUUUGAAGUUCCCUUGCCAUUGAUCAACAGAUCUCCUCAGUUCUGAUCUCGACUCACCAUCAAAAAGUCAAAACAAUGUGGAAACAACUUGCUUUUAUAUGGAUGUGGUUUCUAAGUUGUCUUUAAUAGCAAUGGAAUUUGAUUAAGACACAGAAGAUUUACUUAUUACUGGACUCUUUCAGUUAUUUCAGUCACUGUAAGGAUAAUGCCGGCCUUCUUUUGGCUGGACAGUUGGCAUUUGGUGCGCUAUCUUAAUGGUUCACUUGAAGUGACUGGUUGAUCACAGAUGGCUUAGGUUAUUAACUUCUUGGGAAAUUGCUUCAGUCGGAUAUGAGAUGGGUCUAUUGUCUUUUCUUUGUUAUCUGGUUGCUAUCGCCUUGAUUCCCUUGUGAUGUAUAUAAGAUUUUUACCUGAUGGAGAUGUUUCACAAAACUUGUCUUACUCAUUUCUCCCAAUCUUCUGAUGUCGUUGAGGGUGGAUGGUCCCUUUAAUAGUGUACACCAGACAUCAGGAUGGUGAUCUUCAAGAAUGUCAAUACGUCAUCCAGCUAUACUGAGUAAUGUCUCUUCCUUGGCUAUACGGUUUCCCGCCGGCCUUUGUAUCAUUGGCUCUCUGGGAAAUUCUCACCAAGCAUGGUUAUUGUAAAUGUAAAUGCUAUUAGAUGUGAAAGUAUUGACUUGUGCACAGCUUCUGGAACUAUUGACAAUCUCUACUACGGCUGAGCACUUCAAUUUGUUCGUUAUAGUAACCUGGUUCUUUUAUAUAAUGAGUGUUUUGUUUUAAGUUCGGUACCUACCUUGAUUAUGUAGGCAUAUGAAAUCUGUUAUCCCUAAUUCUGUUCAAGAGGCAAUUUCUAAGUAUUUGUUAGCAGUACUUGUUUUCCUUCUCAUUGAUGCUUAACUUGCAAGGCCACAGCGUUUGUGCUGUCAGCAAUCAAGAGAGGUGGUAAAAUUGAGAACUAGCCAAGAUGCCAGUCACAAUUAUAGAUAUUCAUUCUGAUGAAGAGGUUUUGGUGUAUUUCUUUCGUCUCCUAGGGAACUGAAUUUGUUGCUGGGUUUUUGUUUGCCUAUGGUUUUUUUUGACAAGUUGGUUAAGCACAAUACAAUGUUGACUGACUGAAGAUGUAUAUUGGCCUUAUGUUUACCAUCUGGGGAUUUACUUGAACGUUCAUCUCUGGAAACAUCUUUGGGACACAUAAUUAUGAUGAUGGAGCUAUCAAUAGAAGUUUAAUGUUUGUAUGCGACUCCUUUCAGAAUCCCUCUCUUUAUUUGGAGUUUGAAAGUAGUUUUGACUCUCUAUCUUGACUUUUAUAUCUGUGGAUGACAAGUGGGAGAAGAGGGUUAUCUUGUGGAUUCUGAAUCUGUUUAUUUGAAGAAGCUGGGGUCUUCUAUUUGCAUGUCCCUCAGCUCCAGGUUGUCUUGCCGAUUUUAAUUCUGUUUGGAGUUAGGUCCAUCGAUUUGUGUUCCUUAGCUUCUGCAUUACUGCAUCAUCUCUUACAAUUUUUUAGCAUUGCUGAUCAUGAAAUGGCUGGGAUUUUGCUCUUACUUACGUUGUGGGUGGUGGAGCCAGGCUUAAAUGCAAGGGUAUUGUCAAGCCAACAUUAGUGCACCGUCCACAAACUUUCAGUAAAUCCAUGUUGAUAAGAGGGGGAGAGUUUUAGAAUGUUGCAUGUCCUUUGUUCUAUCUUAUGUGCUAUGAUACUUGUUUUGGAUCGUUCUUUAAUUGUCAUGUUUGUAUUCAUACUGGAAAGGAGCUUCUGUGGCAUGAGAACAAUUGUAAUGCGUGCGUUUUGUGAAUAGUUCGGUCUUGCCAUAAAAAAUUUGGAAACCAGUGCAGAUUAUGCAACUAUCGUGUCAACCCAGAUUGGUGAAAAAUUGUGGCGAGGAAGGCUAUUCCAGCAAUGCGACGGCCAUCGAAUUUGCUUGAGUGCAGCUAUGGCAGAUAGUUAAGUCACCAGGACCAUCUACGGGAUAAAGAGUCGUCGGGCCCUCAUUGUGGUCUGGCCGGGGGAGAGUGGGACCAGGCCCACUCGUUGCUGCUCAAGUAGGGAUAAAAUGUCUAGAGAUUGUUGGAAUAUGUGUUACCAAGGGAGCAAUUGAAUCUAGAUGGCUGCCAUGUUGUAAUUCUUGGUUCAUAAAGAUAAUGCGCUACUUUUCAUCCGUGGAUGUAGGUCAACUCGACUGAACCAUAUAAAUUUUCGGGUGCAUCAUCUAAUGGUUUUAUUUACUUUUUAUCCA